AAUGCGUUUUGAGAUGGUCCUGCGGCCUAUCAGCUUGUUGGUGGGGUAACGGCCUACCAAGGCUAUGACGGGUAUCUGGCCUGAAAGGGUGAACGGACACACUGGAACUGAGACACGGUCCAGACUCCUACGGGAGGCAGCAGUGGGGAAUUUUGGACAAUGGGGGAAACCCUGAUCCAGCGACGCCGCGUGGAGGACGAAGGCCUUCGGGUUGUAAACUCCUUUUAGAGGGGAAGAAAAAAAUGACGGUACCCUCAGAAAAAGCCACGGCUAACUACAUGCCAGCAGCCGCGGUAAUACGUAGGUGGCGAGCGUUACUCGGAAUUACUAGGCGUAAAGCGUAUGUAGGCGGUUGGAUAAGUCUUUAGUGAAAUUUCUCGGCUCAACCGAGAAAGGCCUAAGGAUACUGUUCGGCUUGAGUGUGGGAGGGGGAGACGGAAUUCCUGGUGUAGCGGUGAAAUGCGUAGAUAUCAGGAGGAACACCGAUGGCGAAAGCAGUCUCCUGGCCCAAUACUGACGCUAAUGUACGAAAGCUAGGGUAGCAAACAGGAUUAGAUACCCUGGUAGUCCUAGCUGUAAACGAUGUUCACUAGAUGUGGGAGGUAUCGACCCCUUCCGCGUCGACGCUAACGCAUUAAGUGAACCGCCUGGGGAGUACGGCCGCAAGGUUGAAACUCAAAGGAAUUGACGGGGGCCCGCACAAGCGGUGGAGUAUGUGGUUUAAUUCGACGCAACGCGAAAAACCUUACCUGGGCUUGAACUGCUAAUGGUAAAAACCGGAAACGGCAAUGACCCGCAAGGGAGUUAGCAGAGGUGCUGCAUGGCUGUCGUCAGCUCGUGUCGUGAGAUGUUGGGUUAAGUCCCGCAACGAGCGCAACCCUUAUCCCAUGUUACCUGUAGCAAUACAGGGUCUCUGAGGAAACUGCCAUUGAUAAAAUGGAGGAAGGUGGGGACGACGUCAAGUCAUCAUGGCCUUUAUGUCCAGGGCUACACACGUACUACAAUGGUCGGUACAGAGGGCAGCGAUACCGCAACGGUGGAGCAAAUCCCUAAAAGCCGGCCUCAGUUCAGAUUGUGGGCUGCAAUUCGCCCACAUGAAGUAGGAAUC
rnacentral:rRNA from 1 species